CCUGGCUCAGAACGAACGCUGGCGGCGUGCCUAACACAUGCAAGUCGAACGAGAAUCCGGACUUCGGUCCGGUAGUAAAGUGGCGCACGGGUGAGUAACACGUGGGUAACGUACAUCGUAGUGGGGGAUAACCAGGUGAAAGCUUGGCUAAUACCGCAUGAGUCCGUCGGAACGCAGGUUCUGGCGGGGAAAGAGGAGCAAUCCUCGCUACGAGAUCGGCCCGCGGCCCAUUAGCUAGUUGGUGGGGUAAUGGCCCACCAAGGCUACGAUGGGUAGCUGGUCUGAGAGGAUGAUCAGCCACACUGGAACUGAGACACGGUCCAGACUCCUACGGAGGCAGCAGUGGGGAAUUUGUCGCAAUGGGCGAAAGCCUGACGCAGCAACGCCGCGUGUGUGACGAAGGCCCUGGGUUGUAAAGCACUGUGGGC
rnacentral:rRNA from 1 species